UACGUAGGCAGCAAGCGUUGUUCGGAGUUACUGGGCGUAAAGAGCUCGUAGGUGGUUUGUCGCGUUGUCCGUGAAAACUCACAACUCAAUUGUGGGCGUGCGGGCGAUACGGGCAGACUGGAGUACUGCAGGGGAGACUGGAAUUCCUGGUGUAGCGGUGGAAUGCGCAGAUAUCAGGAGGAACACCGGUGGCGAAGGCGGGUCUCUGGGCAGUAACUGACGCUGAGGAGCGAAAGCGUGGGGAGCGAACAGG
rnacentral:rRNA from 1 species